rnacentral:rRNA from 1 species
UACGGAGGGUGCGAGCGUUAAUCGGAAUUACUGGGCGUAAAGGGUGCGUAGGUGGUUGCAUAAGUUAGCUGUGAAAUUCCUGGGCUUAACCUGGGGUGGUCAGCUAAGACUGUGUGACUUGAGUAUAGGAGAGGGUAGUGGAAUUUCCGGUGUAGCGGUGAAAUGCGUAGAGAUCGGAAGGAACACCAGUGGCGAAGGCGGCUACCUGGCCUGAUACUGACACUGAGGUGCGAAAGCGU